UAUCUGUUUGUUUCUUGUUCUUUCUUAUUGUGUAUUUUUCUUGUUCUUUUUGUGUAU
rnacentral:ribozyme from 1 species